rnacentral:rRNA from 1 species
AUGGAUGGAAAUGCAGCAGCUGAUGGGGGUGAGCCCCCCUAUGAUCCAAUGAAAGAUCCAACAAGGAAGCCACAACGGUCAAAUGAUCCGGGAUGGAACUAUGGAUAUUGGUCUGAGCCUCCAAACCGGGAUCUUGUUGUGUGCGCUCUUUGUGGCAAGAUAACUUCCGGAGGGAUCAAGAGGCAUAAGGAGCAUGUUGCGGGCGUCGGGGGUGAUGCAAUUGGUUGUCCUAAGGCCACCACACAACUGAGAAGAGAAAUGAGAGCAUAUUUGGAGCAAAAUAGGAGGAUCAAGGGAGUAGUAGAUGUAGAUGAUGAUCAGGAGGUUGUGGAGGUGAGUUCAGUUGGAGCAAACAUCGCCUCUAAAAGGCCAAGCUCAGGGACAGCAGCCAGACAGAAUAAGAAAGCGUUUAUCAUCAACAUGCAAGGUAAAAAGAAGUCUGUUACUGCUGCCGCCAAUAGUUCCAAGCCAAUUGUUGCCAUGUUACAAAGAACACCUGAGGAUCUUGUAGAUGAAAGGCGCUCUGGGUGUUCUCAAAGCACCAUGGAGUCCAGCACAAAGACUCAUGAAGAGAGGCAUUAUGUCAGUAUGCAGUGGGCGUUGUUCUUUUACGAGUGUGGCAUUCCAUUUAAUGCUGCAAAUAGUAGGCAGUUUGAGGUUGCAAAUGAAGCCUCAUGUCAAUAUGGUUCAGGUUACAAGCCACCUAGUGCACAUGAGCUGAGAGAGCCAUUGCUUAAUGAUUGUGUGAAGGAAACAUGA